rnacentral:misc_RNA from 1 species
CCUCCUUAAAAAAUAAUCGUUUAGGAUAGGCGUUCACACGAAUAACUUGCUUUUACCUAAAUCAUUUCUUUACAGAUUUGAGAUUACGGAGCGUUCUUUAACAUUUUUAUAAGUUCAAUCAAGUCGCAUCAUAGUGUCUUUAUUUUUAUAAUUUAGAUAUGAAUGAUGUGCAAAUGUCACCAAACCCGUCAUGUUUUAGAACAUAAGUUUGGUGUACAUACUGCAAAGUANUNUUGGGCGANUGACANUAGAUACUUGAAAGAACAUUAAUCAUUAAGUUUGUUUGAUGGUAAUAUGGUCCAAGUAAUUAAAGCGCNUUACGGUGGGAUGCCUA